CCUACGGGGGGCUGCAGUAAGGGAUAUUGCACAAUGGGGGAAACCCUGAUGCAGCAACGCCGCGUGGGUGAAGAAGGCUUUCGAGUCGUAAAACCCUUUUCUAGGGGAAGAGGAAGGACAGUACCCUAGGAACAAGUCUCGGCUAACUACGUGCCAGCAGCCGCGGUAAGACGUAGGAGGCGAGCGUUAUCCGGAUUCAUUGGGCGUAAAGGGCAAGUAGGCGGUUGUCAAAGUUGGGCGUGACAUCUCCUGGCUCAACUAGGAGAGGUCGUUCAAAACUAGGCAACUAGAGGGCAGAAGAGGAAAGCGGAACUCCUGAUGUAGCGGUGGAAUGCUCAGAUAUCAGGAAGAACACCAGUGGCGAAGGCGGCUUUCUGGUCUGCACCUGACGCUGAGAGGCGAAGGCUAGGGUAGCGAACGGGCUUAGAUACCCCGGUAGUC
rnacentral:rRNA from 1 species